GAAAACGGGAAUGUUGGAUUGGAUAGUUCAUGAACUGGGCGCUUGGCGAUAUUUUUGCUGUUCCUUGGCGGCGAAAACAGUGGUGCAAACGGGAAUUUUGGCUUGGAUAGUUCAUGAAUUCGGCGCUUGGCGAUAUUUUGCUGUUCCUUGGAGACGAAAACAAUGGAGACAA